rnacentral:rRNA from 1 species
GACGAACGCUGGCGGCGUGCUUAACACAUGCAAGUCGUACGGUAAGGCCCUUUCGGGGGUACACGAGUGGCGAACGGGUGAGUAACACGUGAGUAACCUGCCCACAACUUUGGGAUAACGCUAGGAAACUGGUGCUAAUACUGGAUAUGUGCUCCUGCUGCAUGGUGGGGGUUGGAAAGCUCCGGCGGUUGUGGAUGGACUCGCGGCCUAUCAGCUUGUUGGUGGGGUAGUGGCCUACCAAGGCGGCGACGGGUAGCCGGCCUGAGAGGGUGACCGGCCACAUUGGGACUGAGAUACGGCCCAGCCUCCUACGGGAGGCAGCAGUGGGGAAUAUUGCACAAUGGGCGCAAGCCUGAUGCAGCAACGCCGCGUGCGGGAUGACGGCCUUCGGGUUGUAAACCGCUUUCAGCAGGGACGAAGCUUUUUGUGACGGUACCUGCAGAAGAAGCACCGGCUAACUACGCG